rnacentral:rRNA from 1 species
AUUGAACGCUGGCGGCAUGCCUUACACAUGCAAGUCGAACGGCAGCACGGGUGCUUGCACCUGGUGGCGAGUGGCGAACGGGUGAGUAAUACAUCGGAACGUACCUUGUCGUGGGGGAUAACGCAGCGAAAGUUGCGCUAAUACCGCAUACGCCCUGAGGGGGAAAGCGGGGGACCGUAAGGCCUCGCGCGAUUAGAGCGGCCGAUGUCUGAUUAGCUUGUUGGUGAGGUAAAAGCUCACCAAGGCGAUGAUCAGUAGCUGGUCUGAGAGGACGAUCAGCCACACUGGGACUGGGACACGGCCCAGACUCCUACGGGAGGCAGCAGUGGGGAAUUUUGGACAAUGGGGGCAACCCUGAUCCAGCAAUGCCGCGUGAGUGAAGAAGGCCUUCGGGUUGUAAAGCUCUUUUGUCAGGGAAGAAACAGCAGCUCUAACACAGUCUGCGAAUGACGGUACCUGAAGAAUAAGCACCGGCUAACUACGUGCCAGCAGCCGCCGCGG